CACUGCUAACAGUGUUGUAUUUGAUCUUAUAGUUACACAGUUUUGUGGAAAGACAUUCGAGUGCUGGAUGAAGAGAAAGCUCCUAAAGCGGACGCAGGACUCAGACCAGCGUUAGAUGCAGCGUGGGAUUUCCAGCGUAACGGCACUGUGCCCAACACGUGGAGGACGGAGGUGAAGGAUGAAAGCUCCAGCAGUGAGGAAGAGGAGGAGGAGGAACAAGAGGAAGAGGCCAGCAGCGAGGAGGAAGAGGUGACUGCAGCAUUUAUAAUCAUAAAGCAUGUGCUGGGGAGAAAAAUGGCCCUUUGUUUGGUUUGACAUCACUCAAAUAUUCAAAAUCUAUGGAAGCUUGUUUUCGCCACCUGAUAAAAAAAAAAAAAAAAGUCAUUGCAAUUUUUUCCCCUCACUUUUCUGUCAGAUAUAAGAUAUAAACUCAAAACUGCAAGAUAGAAACUUAGAAUUGUAAUUGUGAGGUGUAAACUUGCAAUUUCCUGAGUUAAUUUGGAGUUUAAAAAAGUAUGUGAGAUAAAACCUUGGAAUUGUGAGUAAAAAUGUCAAUUGUGAAAACUCUGAAAACAUGUUAUCUUAUAUUUUGUGGCAGAAAUAAAAACAGUUGCGAGAUGUAAGCUCACAAUUGUGAGGGAAAAGUUAUUUUGAGAUAAAAAUUACCUUUUUAGUUUUUUAUUUGGUGGCACAACUCCCCAAUGAAUUCUGUGGAAAAAGACUUUCCACUUAAUUGUAAGACAUUAAACUUGAAAUUACCUUUUUUUAUUUUACAUUUUAUGGUAAAAAAAAAGAAAAGAAACUGAAUUACUGGAUGUAAACUCAGAAUUGCAAAAAAAAAAAAAAAAAGUCAGAAUUGUGAGGGGGAAAGGUUGCUGUUACAUUUUUUUAAUUUUUAUUCUGCGGCAGAAACAAAACAAAGCAAAAAAAAUGAAUUCUGAAGGGGAAAAGUCAAAAUUGCAAGGUAAAAUUCUAAAUUAUUUUUUUUAUUUUACAAUUUGUGGCAGAAAAAAAUGAAUUUCAAGGUAUAAACUCAUAAUUUUGACAAAAAAAUAGAACUGCAAGAUGUAAACCUGCAAUUGCAGAAAAGUCAAAAUUGUGAGAUACAAAAUCAGGAAUUUUGAGAUCAAAAGUAGCAAUUAGCUUUGUUUAUUCUGUGGUAGGAAAAAACACCAUAAUGAACUCUGAGAAGAAAAGUCGGAAAUUGUGAGACAAAAAAUGAAAAUAGCGAGA
rnacentral:lncRNA from 1 species